GUGCUCUCUUCGGCAGCACAUGCACUAAAAUUAGAAUGAUACAAAGAAGACUAGCAUGGCCCCUGUGCAAGGAUGACAUACAAAUUCGUGAAGCAUUCCAUAUUUUU